rnacentral:rRNA from 1 species
GAACCGUCCAAACGUUACUCGGAAUCACUGGGCUUAAAGGGUGCGUAGGCCGCGCGGAGGGUGGGAUGUGAAAUCCCCCGGCUCAACCGGGGAAUAGCGUCCCAAACCGCCGUGCUCGAGGGAGACAGAGGUGAGCGGAACUGAUGGUGGAGCGGUGAAAUGCGUUGAUAUCAUCAGGAACACCAGUGGCGAAAGCGGCUCACUGGGUCUUUCCUAACGCUGAGGCACGAAAGCUAGGGGAGCGAACGGGAUUAGAUACCCCGGUAGUCCUAGCCUUAAACGAUGAGCACUUGAUUGGAGGGAUGGUCACGUCCUUCCGGUCGUAGCGAAAGUGUUAAGUGCUCCGCCUGGGGAGUAUGGUCGCAAGGCUGAA